rnacentral:rRNA from 1 species
UACGGAGGGGGCUAGCGUUGUUCGGAAUUACUGGGCGUAAAGCGCACGUAGGCGGACUGUUAAGUCGGGGGGUGAAAUCCUGGGGCUCAACCUCAGAAUUGCCUCCGAUACUGGCAGUCUCGAGUGCGGGAGAGGUGAGUGGAAUUCCCAGUGUAGAGGUGAAAUUCGUAGAUAUUGGGGAAGAACACCAGUGGCGAAGGCGGCUCACUGGCCCGUAACUGA